UACAGAGGGUGCAAGCGUUAAUCGGAGUUACUGGGCGUAAAGGGCGCGUAGGUGGUUGAAUAAGUUGUUUGUGAAAUACCUGGGCUUAACCUGGGAACUGCAAGCAAUACUGUUUGACUGGAGUACUGUAGAGGGUAGUGGAAUUUCCGGUGUAGCGGUGAAAUGCGUAGAGAUCGGAAGGAACACCAGUGGCGAAGGCGGCUACCUGGACAGAUACUGACACUGAGGCGCGAGAGCGUGGGGAGCAAACAGG
rnacentral:rRNA from 1 species